GUAGUAUUCCCUCCGUCGCAAAAUUCUUGUCUUACAUUUGUUUAGAUACGGAUGUAUCUAACAUUAAAUGUAACUAGAUACAUCCAUAUUUAGACAAAUUUAAGACAAGAAUUUUGGGACGGAGGGAGUACAAA
rfam:Triticum aestivum genome assembly, contig: Triticum_aestivum_CS42_TGACv1_scaffold_129292_2BL